ensembl:snRNA predicted gene, 25060
CUGUGUACCUGGCAGGGGAGACACCGUGACCAAGGAAGUGGUUUUUCUAGGCUGAGGCUCAUCUCUUGCACUUGGGGUCUCCCCAAAUGCAGGAAAAUCGUUGCAUAACUUGUGGUAGCUGGGGACUACAUUUACACUCUUCCCUGA